GUGAGGAAUAUUGGGCAAUGGGCGAAAGCCUGACCCAGCCACGCCGCGUGAGUGAUGAAGGCCUUCGGGUUGUAAAGCUCUGUGGGGAGGGAAGAAAAAGCGGGAGAGUAACUGCUCUCGUGUUGACGGUACCUCCUUAGCAAGCACCGGCUAACUCUGUGCCAGCAGCCGCGGUAAUACAGAGGGUGCAAACGUUGCUCGGAAUUACUGGGCGUAAAGCGCGUGGAGGCUGACAUGCAAGUCGGGUGUGAAAUCCCAGGGCUCAACCUUGGAACUGCACUCGAAACUGCACGUCUUGAGUACUGGAGAGGGAAGCGGAAUUCCGGGUGUAGAGGUGAAAUUCGUAGAUAUCCGGAGGAACACCAGUGGCGAAGGCGGCUUCCUGGACAGUAACUGACGCUGAGACGCGAAAGCGUGGGGAGCAAACAGGAUUAGAUACCCGGGUAGUCC
rnacentral:rRNA from 1 species